UACAAAACAACAUGGCAGACUAGUCCUCCAUCUUAGUUCAUACUGAUUAUUCUUUUGAUUCACGUGUCUGCCUAUCUCAGUUUUUUUAUGCUCCUUCUCUCCCUUCUCCCUCCCCGCUUCUCUCUCUCUCUGUCCCGCCACCUUCUCCACUCUGCGACCAGCAUUUGGCUUUUUCCACUUGUGGCAGAUUACUGUAAGGCUAUUGUAAAACAACUUCCUGCCUCUUUUGGCUCUGGUUCCAAAAAACUGCAAAGGCUGGGCUCACUCGUCUCCCCCUCUCUCUCCCCGAAGUAUCAGAAGGUCUAAAAAGAGAGAAAGCCAGAAAAAGGAAAAGUGUAAAAUCUCUGUCUCCUCUUGAGGACUUAUGUUGAUGCCUUGUGUCUUUAAUGCCACAUGAGAAGUAAAGGAGGAGAGCAGGGGACUGCAUGCCUAGCAGAACGGAAAGAACAGCACAGCAACACCGGACCGACUGGAGGCUCUUCCGCUAGCUCACUCCGAGGACUCUCUCCUCUCCUCCUCUCUUCAUGACAAGGUUCAAUAAGACACAGGUGGCCACAUUCAAUGGACCUGCAGAGGGAAAAACAUUGUUUGUAUUUACUUACUGAAGACAUGGUGCAACCAAGUUCGGGCGUUAUUAACAGUCUCUCUCGUCUUCUUUUUAAAAAAUGACACAAAAUGGGUUGGAUGUGUCUGCAUUGGAAUGAGCUAGAACCCUAAAACCCUAGAACCCAAUCCAAAGCACUGCAGCCUCACGUCACAUCUCGCCAUGCGUUUUAACCAAUUGAAAAACUCACGUCUUUGCGUUGAAACAUAUAGGUUUAAACAUACAGUUUGUGGAUAAUGUAGACAUAUAUUAAGAAUAUGUAUUUUUGUAUGCACAAUCCUGCUCAGUUUCAGUAGAGGACAGACAGUAGGGGAAAUGGACAUGGAACUAUGAAUUUGUUUUAGUUGUUGGUUUGGAACGGUCUGUAGUAACAAUUUAGCUUAGUGUGCACGUAGCACAGCAUUUGCAAGAAGUUCACUUGAGGAUAGGGUUUUGGUUUUGGGAGGAUGCCAACUUUUACGACUGCGUGCCUCUACCUCGUUCCCCUCUUCUCUACUCUGGUUGCAUUUGUCUGUAAUGAAUUAUAUUUAAAAAUGUAUUUAUAUAUGUAAUUAUAUAUGUAAUUAUUAUAUUUUAAGUUGUGUUUUAGAAUUAUAAAUGACUUUAACCAUGCUUUCUUUAAACACAUUUCAAAUAAUAAAUUAAGCCAUUUUAAGAUGGCACGUUUUAAUAUUUUUUUUGCUUAGAUAUUUUUUAAGGAAUGCUUUCUUUCACAGGUGUGUAUAAGAACUUUACAACAAUACCAUAAAAAAAACAUGUCCGAGUACUACAGAAAAAAAGCUUGAGGGAGGACAGGGAGGUAAAUGUAACUAUUCCUUCUGUAGUAUAUUUGAAGGGAUUUCUUAACCCUAUUGUUAAUAAUUACGAUAUGCUAUGGAAUGCUAUGUAUCUGAAUCAGCAUUAACUCUUAGAAUCUUUAGAUGAAAUCACAAUAGAUGAAAUGGUUAAUAAAGUUUCAAGUAAAUAUCCAA